AGAGAACGGCGACCCGGCGCCGGCGGCCAGCCGUCGGCAGCGGGAGGUGCUCGACUCGGACGACUCGGAGGAGCCCUGCAGUUCUCCGGCACCGAGCGCGCAGGAAGACUUGUCGGCAGCAAAGAAGGCAUUCAGGCUGGAGCAGAAGCGUCUAGCAGAUGAGCUUAAAGGCCAGCGGGAGAGAAAUCUGCUGCCGGAGGCGGAGCUGGAGGACCGG